AGGCGGAAUUCACAAUCACGGCUCUAACCAAACAUGUACAACAUUGCGCAGUUUGUUUGCUCUGUGAUUCAGGUACAUUUCAACUUGUACUUUGGAAAUUCAACUAAUCACCAGAUCGAACCAAAUUUAGAAAACUGCAGUUCUGAAACAAAUCUCCAAGUCUACUGAAUACUACUAAUAGUGAUGGUAACAGCAGUGGUGUUGGAGACAGUGGUGGAGGAUGUGUAAGCAGUCCUAAUUGCUGAGAGAGAGGUGUUCAGAGGCAAUAGCACUACUGCUGAUGGUUGAUUUGAGAACGCAACUCCUUUCCCUACCCUUCCUCAAUUUCUUCUUGGGAUUAGGAUGGAACGUUGAUGAGG